CUACUACUCUCUCCGAUCCAUAUUAAUUGUUGAAAUAUUACAUGUAUCUAGACUUUUUUGGCAUAGAUACAUCCAUAUUUGGGCAAAUUUGAGACAAUUAAUAUGGAUCGGAGGGAGUAAUUA
rnacentral:pre_miRNA from 1 species